GACGAACGCUGGCGGCGUGCUUAACACAUGCAAGUCGAACGGAAAGGCCCUGCUUUUGUGGGGUGCUCGAGUGGCGAACGGGUGAGUAACACGUGAGUAACCUGCCCUUGACUUUGGGAUAACUUCAGGAAACUGGGGCUAAUACCGGAUAGGAGCUCCUGCUGCAUGGUGGGGGUUGGAAAGUUUCGGCGGUUGGGGAUGGACUCGCGGCUUAUCAGCUUGUUGGUGGGGUAGUGGCUUACCAAGGCUUUGACGGGUAGCCGGCCUGAGAGGGUGACCGGCCAAUUGGGGAGUGGAGACCGGCCGGGAGCCCUGGGGGGGGGGGGAGGGGGGAAUUUUGAAAAGGGGGCGGAGCCCUAAUGCAGCACCGCCGCGUGGGGAAUGGGGGCUUUCGGUUUUAAACCCGUUUCCGCCUGGGAGGAAGGGGGAGGGAGGGAAGGGGGAAAAGAGACCCGGGUUAACCCGGUC
rnacentral:rRNA from 1 species